CGUGCACCCUGCCCCCCGCCGCCGCCGUCCCCGCCGCUCGCGCCCCUUCCUCCUCCUCCUCCCCCUCCGCCGCCGCUCGCUCCCGCUCCCCGGACGCGGCGGAGCAGCCGGCCCCGCUGGGGAAGCUCCGGGCGGCGGCGGCGGGCGGGCGGCCGGGAAGAGGCUCCGUGCUCGGGCUGGGGCUGCGAGCGGGGUGAUUUUGUAUUAAAAUGAGGAGGAGGAAGAAGAGGCAGCCACAGCGGCGGCGGCGGGAGCAGCAGGAGCAGGCGCAGCGGCGGAUGGGGCUGCAGCCCGGGUGGACGCGCGGAGCCGAGCGGGGCACGGCGGCGGCGGCGGCGACAGCGGCCGGGAUGAGUCAACUCCGCGUUUAAUGGGGGCAGCGACGGCGGCCCCGCGCGCCCGCCCUCCGGGACUCGCGCUCACACGCACGCACACACGAGCGCACACACACACACCUCUCCCUGUGCCACCCGGCAACGACCGGCCUCGUCACAACAACAACAGCAGCAACAGCCGCCCCCCGCCCGCCCGGGGCCGCGCGUGGGGCUGGGCCGCUCCAGAGGACGCUGUCCGCCUCCCCCUCUCCUCUCGGGAAACUCCUGAGCAGUUUGGUGGGGUUUCGGGGCUCCUUUCUGCCCCGGUCCUAGUGCCAUUGUGGUGCUCGUUGUUUACCUCGGACUCGGGCUGAGGGGAAGCUGGGCGACUUUUGGGGGGAGGGGGCGGGGAGCGCGUCGCCGCCGGCCGCGGCGGGGGCUGGGUGCGCCCCAUCUUCCUCACCCGCCCCAGCCCUCUGCUCCCCCUCCCCGGGCGCCCGAGACGCGCGCAGCCCCGCGUCCAUGGGCAGGGACAGGGUCCUCCGGGCUGUUGUCAGCGAGGGCGGGAUCAAAAGUGGCAUUUUAGUGCCUUUCCGGGGCUUUUCCGGCCACCCCGUGUCCCUCACUUUCCAGUCCCCUGGUAGAUGCCCUCGUUGGGGGUGCGGGGCUGUGGGAAAAGUUUAAGGUUUGUUAAUCUUAGUCGCAGU
rnacentral:lncRNA from 1 species